rnacentral:lncRNA from 1 species
UGGUGUGUACUGCGACUCUUCAAACCCACGAAUCAUUAAACUGUCUCGGUAUUUUGCUUUCUACCGACAAGACGUACAGUAAUAAAAUUUCUACGAUUUAAUAAAACUGAAACAUGAUGAAAACUUUAAAGAAAUGUUAAGCUAUUUAAUGGUGUAACUAAGAAACGGAUGUUAGAAUAUGAAAUGCAGAUUUUAAGACGAAAUUAGGAAACUAAAAGAAACAAAAU